CAGAAACCUGAAGAGCUUCAGAAGCUUAUGGUACAAGAAGUAACAACUCUGAGCAAGGUAGGGAAGGUGGUGGAUAUAUGGCAUGCUGGGAAAAUGUUCUACACACUUUCUACUUGGGGACUUGCUUUUGGAGGGUUAUCCCAAGCUCGUGGUGCACUGAAGAUAGCUGCUAAGGGUGUUCAUGCGACUAGCAAGGUUGUUCUUAGGGCUCUCUGAAAGUUAUAAGAGGUCUCUAUCUAAUGCGAUGAAAGCGGAGAUGAUAC